GUGCUCGAAUCUACCCCUAAUUUCACUAGCUCAGAAUUCCCAAUCCUCCUCCUCUUCUUCUUCAACACCCUCUCGACCUUGUUCGAUUCAACUACGACAUCAUCCGGUUCUACACAACCCUUCUCGCAAUUAUCCCCGUCAGACAACUCCAAGUUCUCGGACUUCGCUGGUUGUGGCAAUUCAGGGCGUUUCAUCAAGGAAUCAAAGAAUGCGGGACACUUUCCUUCCGAGGAAUGGUGGGUCCUCUUGUGGCGGCGGGAAUAGACGGCGGUGAGAGGCGGCUGCUGGACUGGCGACGGCGGAGGUGGCGGUGGCAAAGGUGGCUUCUGAUCAGGACCAUCCAAAGGAUCGACGAUGACUAGCUUUCGAGCCUUAACCUUCUUGGACAUGACGUUGGAGGAACCACUGGCACUAACGCAGGGAGAGGUGGCGGAGUAAACGUGGCAGAGAGGGAGGUAGCGUAUGGGAGUGCCACCCCUGGUAUCGAUAUUGUUGUCUUCUUGGAGCACUUGGUGGCGGUGAUGCCGCUGUUUGUGUUCUUCUUCCGCUUGUUCUUCUUCCUUGUGCUGUAAUGCCAUGGAUGAAGACCUAGAUACCACCGCUCCUGCUAUGUAUCUGUGUUCUGUCCAGACGCUGAUGUCUGUGAUUUGGGGGGGAGAGGUUGGGAAUUAUUUGAAUUUGAUGCAAUGAGGGGGUGGGGUUUGAUUUUAGGGUUUUGGAACGCGGAAGGGCAGAUCUUUUGGAGGGAGGGGUUUCCCCAAAAUAAUCCGUUUCCCGCCGUUGGGGUGACGGACGAGGAUGGAAUAUAUGUUGAACUGUUUUAUAUGGGCAGCGUAUAGCAAGGAUCGUAGCUGGGUUGCAAUGGCUAGCUCACCACGAGAGAAAAGGACCUCCACGAGAUUGAGUUUAGAGAGUUUGGGAUUAAUAUAGCAUUUUUUAGUUAGAGAAAGGAAGAAAAAGGGUAUAAACUUGAUGAUAUUUUGGGCUGUAUAAAUUUAUGUUUUAUAUUUUAAGUCAUCUAAGAAAUGGAUGAAUGUGAAUACUGGAAGUGGUGGCUUAUGUUCUUGGAGUUAUGUUUAUAUAUUGAUACAGGUGGAUUAUAUGAA